rnacentral:lncRNA from 1 species
UACCAAAAGAGAGCCUUUUGCAACCAUGGAAAGAGGAGAAGAAGACUUAGCAAAACAAGAAAAAAAGAAGAAACCAAAGGAUUCCUUAGUUGGAACUUGGAGAAAUCCUUGCACCUAAAUUAAAGAGUUUAGUAUGUUAAAGAAGAAAAAAGAUGAGUGGAUGAGCUAGGCCAAAAACACCAAGCAGAACAAGCUUCCUCUAAGUCAGGAAACCCUGCUUCUUAAAGUGAUAAACUUUCCUUUCAUUUGAGCUUUCCCAUAAGUUUUCCUAGCCCCUACAAAACUACCAAAACACUAGAAACCCUAGAUUACCCAUCCUUAACCAUGCAAGCAAGCACAAGUUCUCGCUCAUGCUGAACUAGUGAACUUUUAGCUUUGACCCCACAAUUCACUCAGGCAAGGUAGUAUUUAUUGUAAUUAUUCAAUCAUUGCUAAAUUGGAGUCAUUCACUCUUUCAAAGUAUUUCAGGAUUGGGUAUCGGAAAUGAACUAGGAGAGAUGGGUGUCUCCAUUGAGGCAUAAAUCCCACUCAAUCAAAAAGGUCCCCAAUAUGAAUUCAAACCAUCUCAUUUCCCCUUAACAUGGAUUAGUUUAGAAUAUCGCUUUGUAAUAUAAAAUGAUAAUGCUUGUGUUCCCUCUGCGUGGGAACCUACUUUGUCCCACCAUGUAUGAUUAAUGUAUCUUCUUCGAACAAACAUCAUAAUAUGAAUGUUCAUUCUCUUUAUCAUUAUCUAAAGAUCCUACAUGCAAAAAAACUAUCUUUUUUUUAAUACAUUAAAUUAAAGUACAUUCCCUAAAUCAACCACCAAAUUCAAUGAUUUUUUUCGUUAAUAUGGUCUUUAGAUGCUACUUAUUACUAAAAUCGUCGAUUGGUUUGACAUGUAUAGAAAUCGUUUACAUCUCCAAAUUGAAUGAUUUUUUUUGCAGAUAUAGCCUUUAGAUGAUUAAGGGCUAGUUUGGUAUUGCUGUGCUUUUUGAAAAAAAAAAUUAUUUCUGCUGUGCUAUGAGAAUAAACAACUAUAAAAUAAAGUUGAGUGUUUCGUAAACUUUUUUUGUAAAAUUUCUUUAAAAAAAAAUACAGUGUCUGAAGCUUGGUAAGCUUUUAUAUAAAUUGUUGUGAAUAUGUUAAAUGACUAAAAAAGAUAUGGUAUUUAAUGUGAUAUAAUAAUUGUCAAAGACAAUAAUGUAGGAGCAAAAGUUAUAAUUUUGUAAAAGAUGUAGGGGUAUACUAGCCAGUUGAAUAUUUCAUUAAAUAAGCAUUGAUUACUAUGCUUUCAAAUUUUUUUUUUAAAAGCAUGGUAAAACCCUACUUAUGCUUUUCAAUUCUUUGCUGCUGUCAUUGACAGUAGUUAAAAAAAACUUUUUUUUAGUUUUACCAAACACAUUUGAUGUUCCAAAUUUUUUAAUAAGCUGCUUUAAAAAUAGCACAAUCCCAAACCAGCUCUAAAAAAAGAAUGAACGGUUCGAUUAUGAUGUUUGUACAAUAAAGAUACAAUCAUAAGUGGGAAUAAAAUAGACUCCCACAUAAAAGAAAAAGGCUUAAUUAGAAUUAGAUGCCUCAUUUUAGAUUUUUCUAAAUUAAACAUCCGUUACUUUUCAACUUUUGAUUAAAAUGCUUUUACUUUUAAUUAAACUUUAUAUUCGAGGUAUAUUCUUAAUUUAAGUAUUUUAUAAAUUCUUUUAAAUCCAUUUCUAUGUAAAAAAAAUGCACUCAAUAAUAUUCAUUAAUUUAUUGCUAUUUUUAUGGAAUCUCAUCCCUUCCUCAAUUUAAGGAUUCAAUUAUAUCUACUGGGGUUCAAGAUUAAUUGGAUGAAAUAUAGUUUUUCCAAUUUCCAACUCAACAUUUUAUAUAGAUUAUAAAAAUACAAGAGUUCGUUAUAAUUAAAAUUGAGAUGUAGACUAGACUGCCUAAUUUCAUGCAACUGAAAAUAAAUUUGAAUUUUUUAACAACUACUUAUAGUAGAAACGUGAACUAAGAGUUUUCACAUUUUUAUUUUUAUUUAAAAUGAGUCCUUAUUCCAAUAAUUAAUUAUUAAGAGUUGACAAAAUAUUUUUUAGUGCAAUGUUUUAAUGUGAAAAGUUAUCUUUUUUUUUUGUUACACAACUUACACAUAACAUACCAUAAGUUUUGUACGUACCAAAAUAAGGAUAAUACAACGUACUAAUAACUUGGUACGUACUAAAUAAAGAAUUGCAUAACGUACCAAAAACAAUAUUUUAUAACGUACCAAAAUACUAAUACGUACCUAGAUUAAAUUUAUAUAACGUACGAAUAACGUACCAAAUGAUUGGUACAUUAUAUUUAAUAUAUCUGUUUGGUACGUUAUAUUUAAUAUAUGUGCAUGUUAUAUUUCAUAAUUGUAUGUUAAUAGGAUGUUUAUGUGUUUUUAGAAUUUAAAACAACAAAUUAUUUGAACAAGAAAAAGUCAUUUUUGAACGAAUUAUGAUAAGAUAAGAUAGGAAGUUUGUGGUGAUUUUAGAAUAUUUGUGAUAUUAUUUUUUGAACUAGUUGGUUAAUUAAAUACAAUAAAAAUCAUAAUUUUUAAUUAAAAAUUAGUAGAAGAAUGUUUGAUCAAAAGUUUAAAAGCUAUAGAUGUUUGAUUAAAAAAAUUCAAAUUUGAGGCAUCUAUAUCAAAAUGUCCCAAAGAAAAACAAGCAUUGUCCAUAAAAUAUUAGUACCUUAGAUUUUUUUUUUCUUUUGUUUUUUAACAUAGGAAAUAAAGAAAGAUCUGAGUCUUUUCAAAUAAGGAUAUAUACCUGGGUACAAAUUGGGGAGGUUCAUUAUAUUAGUUAGAUUAAUAUCGAUAUAGGACUCAUUUGAAUGUAAUUUUAAAAUGAUUAAAAAUGUUUUUAGAGAAAAUGUUUUUUGAUUUCAAAAGCACUUAAAGUGAUUUCUGCAAGAAACACUAAUUAUGUGCUUCUUCCAGGAAGCACUUUAAGUGCUUUUUCAUAAUUUACUUACAUUUUUACUAAGGAUUGGUUCCAAGAAUAUUUUCACCAAAAACGCUUUCAUUCAUUUUAAAAGCAUAUUCUUACAAGUACAUAGUUAUUUAUUUACUUUUUAUGGAAGAAGUGGUAUUAUAAUUUAAUAGACAAGAAGGAGAACUCAAAAUUAAGCGUACAAGCUCAAUUAAUUUUUUUUUUUAACACAACGAUAUAUAACAUUAAAGAGUGAGAAAAAUAAUUAAUAAUGAAUUCGUUACAAGAACCCGAACUUAAAUUAAAACGAAACUCAAUCUUAUAGAAGAAACGUACCAAUAAUGUGAUGAAAUGACAAAAGAGGGGGACGAAAGUUGAAUAUACCAACUACAACAAUUAGGCAUUCCACGUGUGUGCUUCUCCUACCACAUCUAAGAAGCCGUGCAUGUUCUCCUUAUUCGAUACCUAAUCUAUACGUUUGCACAAGAUUUUUCAAACACACUGCCAUAUAGUUGGCUUAUUCAUCAAAACUUCCUUACGAGUUUGAAUGGGUUCUAGAUAUUACACAUGGUACACAUAAAACUCUCGUAUUUAGUUAGCAACUCUCUCUCUCUCUCUCUCUCUCUCUCUCUCUCUCUCUCUCUCUCUCUCUCUCUCUCUCCACUUCCAGAGGAUAAAGGUACUAUACACCAGCUCGAUUAUGGCAAUCAAUCAUCAUCUGUCUCAUAAAACUCUCAUAUUUAGUUGGCAAAUUGUUCGUGGCAGAAAUUUCCGUGGGGGAUGCUUCCUGGCCGACGAGCACACAGCUCCCCGAGAGGUUGGCGCCGGUUGAUGCUUUCUGUCGGGCUCCUGCUUUACUGGCAGGCUUGUCGGGCAAAGCCUGUCGAGCAAGGUUUGUCGGGCAAGGCUGAAAGAGAAGGACAUAGUUAACUUUGAAAGGUGCCUUUGUGAGGCCUUAGGUGUAGGCCUUGAGGCUCACAAUCAAGAUUAACUUUUACGUGCUCAGGCGUGCCACUACCAUUUUCAGCAUGGCAGAUGUAGAACGGAUGUUUGAGUUGUAAUUAUAUAUAUUCGAGAGACUAUGUUAGUUAUUGACAAGUGUCUUUGUGGGGCCUUAGGUGUAGGCCUUGAGGCUUUUCAUUAAUAACUAACUUAGUACUCGAAUACAUAAGGUUCAUUUUCUUGAUUCUAUGAGUUUUAUGACCAUCAUACUUCUGAUUACCUGAGCCCGAAGAGCAGAAAGAAUCCAAAUAGAUACCUUUGUAGGGCCUUGAAUAGGCCUUGAGGCUUCCCAUCAGAACUCCUUCUAUACUCCACGUUCUAACCCGAGGAACAUGAUGAAUCCAAAUAGGUGCCUUUGUAGGGCCUUGAAUAGGCCUUGAGGCUUCCCAUCAAAAUUCAUUCCGUACUCGAACGUUCUAUGGCAACCAUAAUAUAACGGAAAUAAAACUAAGUGAUAGGUCGAUUACUUGCGCCCCAAGUAACUUCGGACUUCUUGUUAUCAAAGCUUGUCGUGGAUGGGUUAAGUCCAUAUCAGGUUCUUUUUUUAUGCCUUGAGGCCAAGGACUUUUAGAGUAAUCAAAUCUUGUAUGCCCGAGGGCUUAGAACUUAGAUCUGGCUUGAACUGUGAAGACAUAUUCAAAUCGGAUUCAAGUGCUGAGAGAGUCUUUUAAUAGCCAUAUUACUAGAAAUAACUUGGAUACAACUUGUAGUAUACAACAUAUUGCUAGGUUAAUGAAUGCAAAGACAAAAACAAAGAGGGUCGGGCAAGGCUGAUCGUCUUGCAACUUCCUAUCUUUGUGGUUUAUCAUGAGGUUUGAAAGCUUAGAAAAUGGGUUGGGAGGUGAGUUUACAGAAAGAAAUCGAUACUACAUCAAGAGUUGAACAGGGUAGUAAAGCUAUUACAAAGGGUUUAUCCCGAAAAGGAUGAAGGCUUGGGCUGACUACAGCUUCGUUUUGAAGGCAAAUCUGGUUUUGAGCAGAGUUUGUGCUUUUGUUUGUUUGUUUGAGUGUCCUUGACUCUGAUUUCUCUUUCUCCUUUUAUAGACAUUUUGGCUUGGCCUCUUGUAGCAAUAAUCUUGCCCGAAUGCAGUUUUGAAGGAUAGUGACUCAUCAGCUAUUUACUUGUACUGCCAUCAUAAAGUACUUUUGGGCUGAUUAGCUGGCUGGUCUAUACCACUUGGCCCUUAGGUAGGUGAGCAAAUGGUACAAAUGAUCUACACCUAGUCGGGAAAUGCCUUUUCUGCUUUUUGGGCUUGGGCUGAGCUUUGGGCUUUCCUUCUUUUUUUUUUUGGGCCAACUCCCUUCUAAGCCCAAAGUUUAAGUUUUAACCCAAACAGUGCCCCCUUCAAUCAAUAUUCAGACUGGAAUUCCAGGCGCCAAUUUUGAUUGAAUAUCCGCAUACUUGUAUACCCGUUCUUGGAACUUGCGUUUUUCUAGACAGGAUGCCUAUGACCCUGCGUCUUUUGCUCUUCUCACGACCUUUGGUUUAUCCUCUGAGUUUUCUAUAAAUUCAGGCUUGAUUUUGCUUUUUGCUCAGCCAACAAACCUCUUCCAGCUUUCACUUCAAUUAACCCUGAGUACUUUUGCCUUCUUAGUUUUCUUCCCAAGACUGAGAAAUGAGUUCUUCAAGACUCAAGCAGGGUUUCCUAAAACUCCAUUUUCGUGAAAAAAAAGAGUUUUCAUCAGAUAAACACUAUCCCCAACACCCUUGGUCAGGCACCCUGCUAUCUCCAACACCUUUAGUCAGGCGGUUCCUUUAUGAAGACUUGCCUUCCCGCUUGUCGCCAUGACAAGUCAGACUUCACCAUCAUACAUGGUGAUGACUCUGCCUGAGGAUCCUCUACCAGGCGCGUCUUGGCCGCACAACCCGAUCACCUGAUCGGAUUCUAUCCAUGAAGGUACCAGAAAACCAGUUGAGACACCAUUGCACCUGGAAGGAGUCGAACGUAGCACAUCUAAAUUAAAUUGAAUUUGUUGUAAAUUUCACCAGUUUGUCAAAAAUGAAAUAAACAUUAUCUUAACAAUCUUGUGUCUUUCUGUCUUCUUGAAUGACUGAUGAAUAUACACUGCACUUUAGCAUCCCGAAACCUGCUUUACUUUGCACUUUCUUCAAUAUAACAAUCUCUAACAUCCCAUAAUGUAAGACAAUAUUUUUUUAAGAAUUUAACAUUGAUGGGAUGUUUCUGCCAAUUCCCUUCGAGGUCCGCCAAGUAAUAUCCCCAUUUGUCUAAUACUUGACUAAUUAUGAAAGGACCUUCCCACGUCGGGCUCCACUUUCCAAAGCCCCUAAGCUGAGCUCCUAGAGGAAGGACUGUCUUCCACACCAAAUCUCAUUUUUUAAAAGACUUUGCUUUUACCCUUUUGUUAUACGCUCGGGCAACAACUCUUUUCCCUUCCUGAAUCUGGUUCAGGGCUUCAAUUCGGGCUACAUCUAAGUCUUCAAUCCCUUGACACAUGGCUUCGAUGUAUUCUUCGCUGUGUAACCUAAACUGAUUUUGAAUUCUGACAGAACUUACAUUGAUCUCCAUGGGAAGCACUGCAUCUUGCCCGAAAGUUAGAGCAUAAGGAGUUGUCCCUGUUCUCGCCCUCUUGGAAGUUCUGUAUGCCCACAAAGUAUUCCCCAGCUUUUCAUGCCAUUUUUUGAACUAUCUAUCACCAUUCUUUUGAUAAUGUUUACCAAAAUCUUGUUGCUGGAUUCUGCCUGGCCAUUUGACUGCGGGUAGUAAGGAUUAGACUGGAUCAUCUUUAUUUUGUAUUUGCUUGCAAAUUCUUCAACUUCUUUUGAAAUAAAAGAUGGCCCUCGAUUCGUCACUAUGGUUUCGGGCACCCUAAAUCUAUGUAGAAUCUUGGUUUCAAUAAAAUUUUGGACUGCAGCUGAGGUUAUGGAUUUUACAGUCAAAGCCUCUACCAAUUUGGUAAAGUAAUUCGUUGCUACAAUGAUGAAAGUGUGCCCCUUGCUAGAAGCAGGGUAAAUCUGCCUGAUGAAGUCCAUUGCCCAUCCUCAGAGGGUACAUGUUGGAGAGGAUCGUGCCUUUGACAUUCCUCACACCCUCGGGCAUAGGACUUGCAAUCUUUUUCCAUGUCGGGCCAAAAAUAACCAUACCGCCUAAGUAACCACCUCAUCUUUGUUCCCGCUUGAUGUGUUCCACAUACUCCUUCAUGUACUUCGGCCAUUACUCUCAUGGAUUCCUCUUGGCCUAAGCAUUUCAAUAAUAACCCGUCUGGAGUCUUCCUUAGCAGGUCUUACGCCCAUAAGACAUACUUAGUUGCUUGCUAUUUAUUCUUUUUGCUGGUGGGUGAAGAGGGAUCUUUCAAAUGAUGGAUGAUGGGCGACCUCCAAUUUUCUAUCUCAGUUUCCUGAACCAUUACAUCCAGGCUGAAUCCCCUUUCCAGAAUAGAAGGAAGAUUUCUCCUUUGAAUCUCGACAUCCAACCUAUAUCUUAUUUCCUGUACUGGCAUGCCUGAGGCUAAUUGCGCCAUCUCGUUAGCUGCUAGGUUGGUUCCCCUGGGAACAUGACUCACCGAUAUCUCAGAAUCCCAAUAACUCAGCAAUUGCGUGGCCGCCAAGUAAUAUUCGGCCAUGGUGAUAUGUCUACACUUGAACUCCCCAUUUAGCUGGUUUAUUACCAAUUCUGAAUCACCAAACACCCCAACUUCCAUUGCCCCUAGAUCCAUCAAGAUUUCCAAACCAAUUAUUAAGGCCUCAUACUCUGCCCGAUUGUUGGUAUUCCCUUGAUAAUCCAAGAGGAAUGAGUAGUAAUGAUAAAUCCCUUAAGGGUUGAUAAUUACAAUCCCAGCUCCUGAAGCUUUAUGAGUAUAGGAACCAUCGAAAUAGAGCUUCCAAGGAGUAAUCCACAAACCAGCCACUCUUCUUAUCUCCUGCUAGACCCACUCCUCUUUGCCCGAAAUCCCUUUGCCUGGCGGGAUCCAAACAUUAGUAACUUCCAGGGUUCCCGGUAUAUUGAUUAUCUCAUCUUGAGAUUCCUGAUGCUCCGCCAAGAAGUCAGCAAUUGCUUGGCCUUUUACUGCCCUUUGGGGGACAUACUGAAAGCUGAAUUCUGAUAAUGCUAGAAUCCACUUCCCAAUCCUUCCUGUUAACAUCGCCUUUGACAACAUGUACUUUAUCACAUCUGUCUUGGCGAUGAUGUGCACGUGACAAGGUAACAUGUAAUGUCUCAGCUUAUUGGCAGUAAAAUACAGAGCUAAGCACAAUCUCUCUACCGGGGAAUACCUUGUUUCUACCUCGGUCAGAAUUCUACUGAGGUAGUACACUGCCUGCUCCUUCCCGCCUUCAUUAUUUUGAGCUAGCCAACUCCCAAUUGAUUUAUCUGAAGUGGAGAUAUAUAGCUUUAAGGGUUUUCCCCUCUGAGGUGGUACCAACACUAGCGGAGAAGUUAAAUAAGCUUUGAUACUAUCGAAAGCCUCUUGGUGCGAUGGUCCCCACUCGAAAUUCUCCUUAUCCUUCAGUCUUAAUAAAGGAGUCAGCAGUUGGAUCUUGUCCGCUAGAUUGGUAAUGAAUAUUCUUAAGAAAUUAAUUUUGCCCAGCAGCCUCUGGAGUUACAUUUUGUUGGUGGGUAAAGGCGACUCCAUUAUUGCCUGUGCUUUGUUCUUGUCCACUUAUACCACUCUUUGAUGAACCAGGAAUCCCAAGAAAUUGCCCGCUCUAACUCCAAACGCACACUUCUUUGGAUUCAUCUUCAAUUUGUGGAUCCUCGUUCUUGUCAAUGCCUGCCUGAAGUCUAUCAGGUGCUGCUCUUCUGUCUUGGAUUUCACCACGAUGUCAUCAAUAUACACCUCUAUAUUAUGGCCAAUCAGAUCAUGAAAGAUGGCAUUCAUCGCCCUUUGGUAGGUUGCACCAGCAUUCUUGAGUCCGAAGGGCAUAACCAGAUAUUCAUAUGCCCCUACAUGCCCAUGGGCACCUAAAACCUGUUUUAUGUAUAUCAUCCAGGGCCAUCCUUAUCUGAUUAUACCUGGCAUUUCCAUCCAUAAAAAGAUAAGACUUUGUGUUUUGCUACUGCAUCUAUGGAUAGAUCUGCCAUGGGCAUGGGAUACUCAUCUUUAGGUGUAGCGCCAUUAAUAUUUCUGUAAUCAACACAACAUCGUACUGCUUUUGUUACGGCUUUUAAAACGGGUACAAUGUUGGCUAAUCACUCCACAUAUUUGGCUGGCCUGAUAAAUCCGACUUUUACGAGCCUCUCAAUCUCUUCUUUGACCUUCUAUUCUAUCUCCUUCGACAUCCUUCGUAGUGCUUGCUUAACCGGCUUAUAUCCUUCCUUAAUGGGCAUUAUGUGUUCCACCAAGGUUGCAUCUAAACCUGGCAUCUCAGUGUAAUGCCAAACAAAACAAUCUCUGAAUUCUUGCAAGAGACAGAUAAUCUAUGCCCGAUCCUCACUCUCCAACAAACCACUGAUUUGUAUUGGUCUUGGAUCCUCCUUUGUUCCUAGCUCAAUAACUUCCAAAGGAUCUUGGACCUCUGGUGGUGGCUUAUCAGGUUCUGCACACAAAUUCGACUAGCUCCGGGCUCUCACGCAAUUCGUCUGGCUCAUCUAGUUCAUAUAUACACUCGACCAUUUGAAUGGCCCUUUCCAAUUCUUCUUGACAAGAUUCCUCCUUGCUUUUAUCCUGGCUGGUUGAAGCUCAUUCCUGCCAUUCCUGCUCUUCUCUGUCUAAGAGCUCUUUUUCUUGUCUUCUUCCUUUCCCAUACACCAACAGUCGUUUUAUCAGGGAUCUGACUGCCAUUACUUGAUCUUUCCUUUUUUGUUCUAUCAUUGAUGGUGUAGGGAUGUUGGGAUGAUACAAGGUCUAUCCCCUUCCUUUCUAGUAAGGAGCAUUCCUUGUUCUAGAAGCUUGUGGGCUGUCACCUUGGUAGGGCGGCCGUUCUCAUCUGCUCCCGAACAUUUCAAGAUUCCUACGUUGGGAUUGUAGAAACUUGUUUCCGCUACAUUGGCUGUGGGAAGAAAUGGCCGUGAUUCGGCCUCCACCAUCUCCCAAAAGUCUGGCCCUUCUGUGUUUGCCUCAUGAUAAACAGCCACUUGCUAACGUAAGGUGGAAGGUAUAGCAAGACUUUGGUGGAUCCAAUCUCUUCUGAGUAAGGCUCCAUAGGUGGAGGUGCAGUCCACCACAAAGAACGCCAGCAUGAUCUGUUUAGACCCCAGAUAUACUUCUAAAGGCAAUAUCCCAAGAGUCUUGAUGAUAGCUUCCGAGAAACUAGAAACUGUGAGGUCUGUAGCAAUAAGAUCCUUUGUGCCUCCCCAAUUUUUUUAUCUGCUUGGCCGGUAGUACAUUAACAGCUGCCCCUUCAUCAAUCAAAAUCUUAUUGAAGAGCACCCCCUCCAAAUGAGCUGUCACAUAUAUGGGCUUCAGAUGAUUGGCAAGCGAAAUGUUCGGGCGGUUGAACAGUUGCCCCUCCAUCAAUCAAAAUCCUCUUGAAGGGCACCCCCUCCAAAUGAGCUGUCACAUAUAUAGGCUUCAGAUGAUUGGCAAGUGAAAUGUUCGGGUGGUUGAACACCAUCUUGUCUGUAUGGAUCCUUAAAGGACCCUCUUUGGAUGCUUCAGAUGAUGCAGCUUUUCCCGACUCUCCUUCUUCUACCAUCUCUACAUUGACAUGAGCCAUCAUCGGCUUAGUUGUUACGUAAUCUCCUUCUAUGGCGGCGGGCUGAUUUGGUUGGGCAACAAACAUGGCAGAUAGCACAUACGCCAUGUUUAUGUGAAAGUUGCUAGGCUAUGGUAGUUCCUCUUUUUUGCUUCCAAUCUGGUCCAUAAACUCAUCCAACCAAGCCAUCGCAUCUGGUGGAAGCAGUGGUUUUGAUGCCUUUUUUAGUUGAUUCACACCUGAACAUGGUGUUUGUUUUGGAACUUCCCCGAAGGGAUCCUCUAAUGAUAGAGAAGGUUGUUUUCUCUCAGGUCAGACCGUUCCAAAACAAAUAGGCUACUCUGUCUUCCAUCCAGGAGUUGGCACCAUAACCAUAUCUUCUUGAGCUCUCCUCAAGAUUCUAUAUUUCCCAAGGUGUAGGCUUUAUGGCAUAUGGUUUCCUUCGCCUUCAGUCUUGCUAUUAUCCUUUUCCACCUCAUUCUUACUUCUCCAGCGGAGCUGACUACUCCCCCAGAUGACGUUUUUUCCAACUUUUGAUUUUUGGAUGCUUCUGACGUCGCAGGGGUUUUUAAGGAAUUCAUGUAGACUUUGUGUUGCCUCUGAACCCUUCUGACCAUGGCGGCUCCCAUUUGCUUAACGGGCUGUCCAUUCUUCCCGACCACAUACCAUUUUCGCCCGAGGCGGGCAGGAUUAUCUUUUGUGACAAGGUUUGUUAUCCUAUCAUUCCUCCUGACCUCUCUUCCCAUAUGGCCGUACUGAGAGUGCCCUGCACUUCUCUCCUUCGGCUUCUUGGCAUCUUUAUCCUCUGCUUUCUCAGAAACUUCAUGGUUACGAAAUAUCUCUGAUAAAGCCCUUGGUUGGGAAUCGCCUCCCAACCGCUGAAAGACACUUCGGGAGGUAUCCCUUCCUGCAGUCCGUCGAGCUUUCUCUUGUGCCUAUUUUCUCUUUUGUUCUUCAUUCCUCCUGAUCAAUUCAUGAUCUAUGAGGGCUCCUGUGGGCGGUAUUUCGAGCUCACACUCACAUUGGUACUUACUGCACAUCACCCUCCCUUUGAUUAUUGCAGCUCUUGGAUAUUCGGGCAAGUUAACCACCCAUUUUAUGGGUUUGUCAACCAGUCUUCUUUCUUCUUCUCUUGUGACCUUCUCUUUUCCCUUCUCCGCCCAGGCCAUACUGAUCAUAUUUAUAGGGGCUUCUGAGAAGGGAUUCGUAUGUUUAUCCGUCACCGCAGCUUCUUCUAGUUAGUUGGUCUUAACUCCCCUUUUCUCCCUAUCGUCUUUCUCCCUAAGGUGAGGUAAAAACAUAGGAAUAGGUGGCUUUAGAACCGGAUGAUAUUCUUUUCUAGAGCCUGCGGAGGCGUUCUCCAGCCUUUGUAGCAUGUGCAACAAAGCAGUUUGCAAAUCUUCUGAUCCCUUUGACAUACUUCUUUGAUCAAAGAUCCCACCGGGCGUGCCAAAACUAUGUUCGUGGUUGAAAUUUCUGUGGAGGGUGCUUCCUGGCCGACGAACACACAGCUCCUAGAGAGGUUGGCGCCGGUUGAUGCUUUCUGUCGGGCUCCUGCUUUACUGGCAGGCUUGUCGGGCAAAGCCUGUCGGGCAAGGCUGAAAGAGAAUGACAUAGUUAACUUUGAAAGGUGCCUUUGUGAUGCCUUAGGUGUAGGCCUUGAGGCUCACAAUCAAGAUUAACUUUUACGUGCUCAGGCGUGCUACUGCCAUCUUCAGCAUGGCAGAUGUAAAACGGAUGUUUGAGUUGUAAUUAUAUAUAUUCGAGAGACUAUGUUAGUUAUUGACAGGUGUCUUUGUGGGGCCUUAGGUGUAGGCCUUGAGGCUUCCCAUUAAUAACUAACUUAGUACUCGAAUACAUAAGGUUCAUUUUCUUGAUUCUAUGAGUUUUAUGACCAUCAUACUUCUGAUUACCUGAGCCCGAAGAG